UGGGGAAUAUUGGACAAUGGGCGAAAGCCUGAUCCAGCCAUGCCGCGUGGGUGAAGAAGGCCUGCGGGUUGUAAAGCCCUUUCGGUUGGGAAGCAAAGUUCUGACCUAACACGUCGGGACCUUGACGUAACCAACUAAAGAAGCACCGGCUAACUCUGUGCCAGCAGCCGCGGUAAUACAGAGGGUGCGAGCGUUAAUCGGAAUUACUGGGCGUAAAGCGCGCGUAGGCGGCUUUUCAAGUCGAUUGUGAAAUCCCCGGGCUUAACCUGGGAACUGCAGUCGAGACUGUCUAGCUAGAGCAUGGGAGAGGGAAGUGGAAUUUCAGGUGUAGCGGUGAAAUGCGUAGAUAUCUGAAGGAACAUCAGUGGCGAAAGCGACUUCCUGGACCAAUACUGACGCUCAUGUGCGAAAGCGUGGGGAGCAAA
rnacentral:rRNA from 1 species